GGCGGACGGGUGAGUAACACGUAGGCAACCUGCCUAUAGGAUCGGGAUAACUACCGGAAACGGUAGCUAAGACCGGAUAGCUGAUUCUGACGCCUGUUGGAAUCAUGAAACGCGGAGCAAUCUGUGACCUAUAGAUGGGCCUGCGGCGCAUUAGCUAGUUGGUGAGGUAACGGCUCACCAAGGCGACGAUGCGUAGCCGACCUGAGAGGGUGAUCGGCCACACUGGGACUGAGACACGGCCCAGACUCCUACGGGAGGCAGCAGUAGGGAAUCUUCCGCAAUGGACGCAAGUCUGACGGAGCAACGCCGCGUGAGUGAUGAAGGUUUUCGGAUCGUAAAGCUCUGUUGCCAGGGAAGAACAGCGAGGAGAGUAACUGCUCUUCGUGUGACGGUACCUGAGAAGAAAGCCCCGGCUAACUACGUGCCAGCAGCCGCGGUAAUACGUAGGGGGCAAGCGUUGUCCGGAAUUAUUGGGCGUAAAGCGCGCGCAGGCGGUCCAUUAAGUUUGGUGUAUAAUCCCGGGGCUCAACCCCGGGUCGCACUGAAAACUGGUGGACUUGAGUGCGGGAGAGGAAAGUGGAAUUCCACGUGUAGCGGUGAAAUGCGUAGAGAUGUGGAGGAACACCAGUGGCGAAGGCGACU
rnacentral:rRNA from 1 species